CCUACGGGGGGCAGCUGUGAGGAAUAUUGGUCAAUGGACGAGAGUCUGAACCAGCCAAGUAGCGUGAAGGAUGACUGCCCUAUGGGUUGUAAACUUCUUUUAUAUGGGAAUAAAACGUUCCACGUGUGGGAUUUUGUAUGUACCAUAUGAAUAAGGAUCGGCUAACUCCGUGCCAGCAGCCGCGGUAAUACGGAGGAUCCGAGCGUUAUCCGGAUUUAUUGGGGUUAAAGGGAGCGUAGGUGGAUUGUUAAGUCAGUUGUGAAAGUUUGCGGCUCAACCGUAAAAUUGCAGUUGAAACUGGCAGUCUUGAGUACAGUAGAGGUGGGCGGAAUUCGUGGUGUAGCGGUGAAAUGCUUAGAUAUCACGAAGAACUCCGAUUGCGAAGGCAGUUCACUGGACUGCAACUGACACUGAGGCUCGAAAGUGUGGGUAUCAAACAGGAUUAGAGACCCGAGUAGUC
rnacentral:rRNA from 1 species